CCUCUGCUUCACUAGCCAAACCGCAACUCGUCUAUGACCAGGAUGGCCGUCCGGUGGCUUCACUCGCGCUGCAGCGACCAGGCGUGGAAGCGGGAUCCAGCAAUCGUCAUAGAGAUUAAUGGACAGACCGCAGAGGGCUCCUCGCUUUUUUUUGUUUCGAGUUGGUGGAUCGACGCGCCGGGAGUUUGGUUUGGACAGGAGUUACGUGUGUUCAAGGAAUUGAGCGAGUGUGGAUUUGACGAGAAGAGGAGGUCUGACCUGGCGAGCAACCGGUCCGAGCGGACACUGGUGUGGUACACCGGGGACAUCUCCCAGCUUGCAGUCGACCAGAGUGUCCCGUGGUUCGGGC